UUGAAAGGGAAACGAUUGAAGUCAGUCGUACCAGCGGGAAAUCAACCUUUCGAGUGGGAUUUUGGAGUUUUGAAGAGUGUUAAAACCUUUGAGAUUUCAAAAUGUUCGCUCUUUUGGUGUACUUUCUCGUAGGUAGGUUAACAUCGAUUUUGAUCAUCAUAAAAGGAUUGGAGGAAUGUAGCUUCGAUCUCGUAUUGAAGUGUUAUAGCCUUUGGUAAAUGUGGUGAUUAGGACCGAGGAUUGCAACGAAUACCUUUUAGGCUAUCCGUCUGACCUCUGAAAGUUACUUAGGUGCCGAAAGCUUGCUUAUGGUAUUAAGGUAUUACGGUCAAAAGGUUAGAACGGAUUACAUUCGUUAAGGAUGUUGACGUA
rnacentral:rRNA from 1 species